ACCUGGUGUGGAAAUACUUUAUGUGUGGGGAACUAGGAGAGUAUCCUACGUCUUCUCUCUCAUCACAGACCCUUCCUUUUAAUGGUGGUUGGUGUGCCUGGUCCACCAAGAUGGAAGCUCCACAGUUUGCAGCCUUUGGGGGAUCUCAGAGGAAAGCUACACAGGAAUUAGGCCAGCCCAGGAAUAUAGGAGUUGCACAACUGCACUGUGUCCUGUGCACACCAGGCCUGUUGCUUCUCAGUAAUGGAAAAUGCCUGCAGUAGGUUCAGGAGAUGUUUCCUCUCCAUGCACCUUUGUUUCUCUUUACUCCUUAGACUCAGCCAAGACUUACACCAAGAGGAGUGUUUUUGAGGCUGUCAUCCAGCAGUUCUCAUGAAAUCCAUUUCUCUGAACACACGUAGUGACCAUAAGAGUACAAGCUAGCUUUGAAGCCCCAGGAUUCAUGAUAAUGAGCUCAGUAGAUUUAUUGGUCCAGGAGACCCUUCUCAGUAAAAGUUAUUUUGUUCCAAUAUGAGCCAAGUGCUUAAUGUCUUGACAGCCUAUAAAACAAGUUAGUUCUAUCACCUUUCUCCUGAGUAGCUUUUUAAAUUACAAAUCAAAUAACUGCUUACUUUCCUAUAGUUAAAGGGAAUCUAGACCUGUGGCAUUGCAGAUAAGAAACCAUUUUCUUGUACCUACAUAAAAUGACAGAAAGCAUAAAAUUGACCUGUCUGCAAGCCACACCAUACUAAGCCUAGAAAUAUUAAAAUGUUUGUGCGGACAAAAAUGAUCAAGGCCUAAGGGCUGACUUGCAAAGAGGGACGGACUUGCAAAAGGUGGAGCAAGGAAAGCGCUUCAGGGAAGUGCUUAGAAAAUCCCAUCGAAGCACAUAUGAGAGGUAUCCAGCCACAAUCUAGUUUGAUCCUACUGCAUUUUCUAAAAGUGAACUGAGGUAGUACCAUCAUCAGAGCUGGGAGUUACUCUUAUCUUUCUGCAGUAGGUUAGAGAUUUGAAAGCACAAAUGCACCUGUGUGAGACACCCCCUUCACUUAACUUACCUGCUUUGUGCCUCAGUUUCCUCAUCUGCAAAAUGAGAACACUGUGUCUCCCUCAGACGGCCGUCAUAGGGAUUACAUGCAGCUGUUCAGGUCAGGGGCUUAGAAUAGCACUGCCGAACGAUUGCCGGCUAUUAUUGUCUUUGUCAUUCUAUAUUCCUUCCCCCGUCCAAAACACCAUAAAGAAUUCACCGUUCAGAUCACUAGGAUUAGCUCAUUCCAUUAGGGGUGGAUGUUGGCAGGCUAAAGGGAAUGGAUUAUUUUCCCUCAUCUAAAAAUAGGCCUGGCUAUAUUUUGAGGUUUUAGGCAAAGAGGUCUCAGGAUAUACUUGUGAUUGCCAUUAUGUGGCCUAUUUUGGUCACUUUGUAUCAGAAAUCUUUCGAGACUUGUGUCUGUUUCUGAGACUUUUUGUCUCAUGCCAUCAUGUCCCUGGACAACAAAUCCUGUCCUCCCUCAGCAGGGCAGCAGAGCUCAGUUGGUGGUCUCUCUCAUCCCUGCCAAGGGGUCUCCCCCAAAAGACAGGAGAUUGCCCUUUGAACAACACCCCCUUGCCCCUGUAGACACUUUGACUUUUCCUCCAGUCUGCCUCUAGUUGGCUUUGCCUCUUCUCUGUUCUUUUGAGUCUUCUUCUUUUCAUCACUUGCAAUGCAGGCCAGUCCCAGUGCUUGAUGCAGGGCACAUAAUGGUGAGAGGAGCAGGCCCGACCCUCGUAGCCCUCACAGUCUGGAGCACGGCACAGUGACUGCCGUUUCAUGAGUGCUCACCCUGUACACGCUCGCACUACCACCUUUGAGGUAGAUGGUAUCUUCCAGUUACAGCUGAGGAGUCCGAGGCUGGGUGAGGUUAGGCAACUUGCUCAGAGUCAUACUGCCAGUCACUGGCAGAGGCAGGAGAGCCACACAACUCUGUCGAUUCCCAAGUCUACACUGCCUUUUAUUCAAGCACAUGAAAAAGUCCCUGCAUCAGUGAAACUGGCAUUUCACGUUGCAGUUUACAUCUGUGCUUUCAAGUCUCUACCCUAUCACAGAAAGGUAAGAGUAACUCUCAGCUUCUGAUGAUGCUACCUCAGUUCACUUUUAGAAAACGCAAUAGGUUCAAACUAGAUUGUGGUUGGAUGCCUCUCAUAUGUGCUUUGGGAGGGAUUUUCUAAGCCAUCUGGACCCUGACUUGUUUGUGGCUUCAACCGAUUUGCCCCUUUGGGUAUCAAAGCAGUAUUGGAUGUGUCUGGUAAGAACCAGAAAACAAGGACACUGUUCGAAUUAUUCCACUGAUAAGGAAAGCCCGCAACUAAAAAAGAAAAAAAAAAA